CCCAGCCGGCGGGUUUCUCUAGCUUUUCGUCAAGACCGCAUGCCCUAGAGACUGUCGGAGUUUUUGUACUGCCUUCUGGAACUCGUAGUCCUUUGAGGACGCGAAGGGGGCUUAUGCCGCGGGCAGGUUACCGGGGUGGACUGCAUUUCCCAGGGUGCAUGAAGAAACCGAGGCGCUGAGGAGGGCGGGAGGACUGUUUCCAUAGCAAAGGCGGCUGGUCGGGGCUGGCUGACUGAGAAAUGGGGCAGGCCGCGGGACCCUCGGAUUGUGCGUGACUACCGGCAGCCUCUUGGGAGGCCGUUUCGAUUUUUUUUUUUUUUUUUUUUUUUUGUCCUCGGCACCCUCCACGGGACUCUGGGCCUCAGUUUUCCUACCUGAGAAGAAGGGUGUGGAGCCGUCCCCCUGCCCACAGUCCGCGGUGAUGGGGCAAACCGAGGUCGAGCCGCUCUGGUUUGCCCAGCAAAGGUUCUACAGGUACUGAGGUGGCAGCUCAUCCCUGUGGUUCCCGUGUGGCCCCAGUUCUGCCCUCUGAAGCUCAGAGCCCACGUACCAGAUGUUACGGAACCUCUUUACCUUGGCUGCCCCUCUCUGCAAGUAUGUGGCCAGACUAGAAUGUUCAAGCCCGGACUGCAGGAUGAACCUUCAGAACUGAGUCUCCUUUGGAUUUGCCCAGCUAGUGACUACAACUGAAGCCCUGAGACAUGCACUCCUUGGGACCAGGAAAGUGCCCCGGCGAGCGUGUACCUGGCUGCCUGUAUCGACACACCCGAUGUCCUUCAUGUGAGGUGCUGCUCCCAACUGUCAGCAGGUAUGUUAACUUCUGUCACCAUGCUGAUGAUUGUAGUGCCCACAGAUGGGCUCCAUAGACAGGGUAAGCACCAAGCCGGGGGAAUAACAUUCAGAGUGCUCGUUGGAGCCCCACAGGAGGGGAGCAGGCAUCGUCAACCAGGCCACAGAGACUGCAGUGGCUGAAGAAGCACGCAGCCAAGUGUUUGAUAGAGGGGUGAUUGGCUCAGACUGGUUGGGUUCAAAGCCCAGGGCCAAUUCUUAUCACGUGGGUGAC